UACAGAGGGUGCGAGCGUUGUUCGGAAUUACUGGGCGUAAAGCGCGCGCAGGCGGCUCUUUAAGUCUACCCGUGAAAUGCCGGAGCUCAACUCCGUGCACGCCGGGGGAUACUGGAGAGCUGGAGACGAGUAGAGGCAAGCGGAAUUCCGGGUGUAGCGGUGGAAUGCGUAGAGAUCCGGAAGAACACCGGAGGCGAAGGCGGCUUGCUGGGCUUGGUCUGACGCUGAGGCGCGAAAGCAUGGGGAGCAAACAGG
rnacentral:rRNA from 1 species